AGUGAAUAUGGCGUCUCACUCGAGCAGCGAGAAACCGAGAACAAGCUCCUCCAUCGACUCCAGUGGGGCUCUUGAUUCACCGUCAGGAAUGAGUGGAAGAGUUACUAGUUCCUCACAUGGUAUAGAGGCUGUAAUAAACCAAAAAGGUCGAGGGGACCCCAUGAUCGAACAAGCUAAGAGAUUUGCUGUGGCUCAAGCACAAGAGGAUGGAUGUACUGGAAGUUACCGGAGUUUUGAUUCUCAAUUUAAGAAUUAUCUUCUACCUGUAAUUCCAACUCUUGAUGACUUGAAAAGGCAUGGCAAUGAGCUCUGAGUUCCGGCCUGCCUCGGCCAGUUUGGACAUGUCUGGGACCCUGAUAUGCGCCUCAGAGGCUGGACUCAGCCCUCAGGCUCAAUUGUGUAGCAGGUUGAGCCAGGAGGUGGCCAAUUAGCCCCAGCCUCAUGCUUUUAAACAGGCAAAGUUAGUUUCGUUAAUGGAGCCCCAUCUGCAUUAUCAUUUUGAAUGGAAGGCUGCAUUGAUAGUUUGCUUCUUUGAAGUUUGAAGUAUACAUUGAGAGAACGAGCUCCAAGCAAAGGUGGUCAGGGUGGGGGGUGUUACAACGUGAUAUCUAGAUUUCAUUCUCCCUGUAUUCCAAGUUAGCAUUCAAAAAAAUAAUGAAAAAAUACAUUGAUGAAAAUUGGUCUUUUAAAAUUUU